rnacentral:misc_RNA from 1 species
ACAAACUUGGUCAUUUAGAGGAAGUAAAAGUCGUAACAAGGUUUCCGUAGGUGAACCUGCGGAAGGAUCAUUACAGCGCCUCGUCGGGGCUGCCGCGUACCCGCGCGGGAGCCCCGCACCGGCCACCCGUGUUUACCGAACCUCUGUUGCCUCGGCGGGCCCGCCUUGUCCCCCGGGACUGGCCGCCGGGGGCGUCAAGGCGCCCCGGGCCCGCGCCCGCCGCAGGACCGUCUCAGAACCCUCUGAAGCAAAUGAGUCUCAGUCUGAGCGUUGCGACGAAAUCUAGUUAAAACUUUCAACAACGGAUCUCUUGGUUCCGGCAUCGAUGAAGAACGCAGC